rnacentral:lncRNA from 1 species
GCAGUGGGCGGCGACGCCGGCAGCUGGGACGAGGAGGGCCUCCUGGUCACCCUUCUGGGGGCCCGUACUGUCAUGCCUCAGAGCUGGCAAGUCGUCCCAGGGAAGACAACGGCCUUCCUGGAGGGAGGGAACCUUGUGGUUAGGCGCAUGGGGUGCGAAGCAGGGCCUCUACUUGGCCGACGCAGCUAGAAGACUAAGGUCAGGGGCAUUCUGGAUGCAGCCCACAAAGCUAGCUCUCUGUGGCACUGAGCAAGAAAAGAAAGUACAGAGAAAAAAAAAGAAUGGAAUACACAUGAAUGCCGAACCACAUUGGAUAUGUAGCUGUUCAUGAAGAUAUUCCAGGGAAGGCCUAUCUAGUAGAGCCUCAAAUCUAUUUGAAUACAAAUGGCACUCAUUAAGGACAUCUGUCUUCUGUAAUGUCUACACAAAGUCUUACCGGGGUCUUCUUGGCUCUUAUUGACGGCUGAUGAAGGAGGGGUUUAUAAAGAAAACAAGCCAAAACCUGAAUAACUUGCUACUGAGAGCAGCACACAUAUUUUCCCAAAGUGCAAAGUUGAGAAGAAGUACAAAGCUUUGUUAAUAUUCUGAACAGUACUGCUUAGUAUGAUCUAAUUGAUGGAUUUUCCAUGGACUCCCUAGAGACUGAAAAAGGUUUGACUGUCAGGAAACUUUUCUUGUGUUUAUUCUUCAAUUUUCCUUUUCCUACUUUCCAAUCAUCAUUCCCUAUUAACAUCCCUUGAUGGGUCACCUUAAGUGAUUAUUCUUUUUAAUGGCAUUUAUAACGUUUAAUAUUUCCCUGUUAAUUUCUAUUCCGACAAAGUACAUAUUUUUUUAAUCUUCACUCAUAACAUUAAUAAAUUUUUCCAACAUUUUAAA